CCGGGGCUUAANUCCGGUUUUGCAGUGGGUACGGGCUAACUAGAGUGCAGUAGGGGAGACUGGAAUUCCUGGUGUAGCGGUGGAAUGCACAGAUAUCAGGAGGAACACCGAUGGCGAAGGCAGGUCUCUGGGCUGUAACUGACGCUGAGAAGCGAAAGCAUGGGGAGCGAACAGGAUUAGAUACCCUGGUAGUCCAUGCCGUAAACGUUGGGCACUAGGUGUGGGGGACAUUCCACGUUUUCCGCGCCGUAGCUAACGCAUUAAGUGCCCCGCCUGGGGAGUACGGCCGCAAGGCUAAAACUCAAAGGAAUUGACGGGGGCCCGCACAAGCGGCGGAGCAUGCGGAUUAAUUCGAUGCAACGCGAAGAACCUUACCAAGGCUUGACAUGCAUUAGAUCGCGUCAGAGAUGGCGUUUCCCUUCGGGGCUGGUGUACAGGUGGUGCAUGGUUGUCGUCAGCUCGUGUCGUGAGAUGUUGGGUUAAGUCCCGCAACGAGCGCAACCCUCGUUCUAUGUUGCCAGCGGUUCGGCCGGGGACUCAUAGGAGACUGCCGGGGUUAACUCGGAGGAAGGUGGGGAUGACGUCAAAUCAUCAUGCCCCUUAUGUCUUGGGCUUCACGCAUGCUACAAUGGCCGGUACAGAGGGUUGCGAUACUGUGAGGUGGAGCUAAUCCCUUAAAGCCGGUCUCAGUUCGGAUUGGGGUCUGCAACUCGACCCCAUGAAGUCGGAGUCGCUAGUAAUCGCAGAUCAGCGACGCUGCGGUGAAUACGUUCCCGGGCCUUGUACACACCGCCCGUCAAGUCACGAAAGUUGGUAACACCCGAAGCCGGU
rnacentral:rRNA from 1 species